rnacentral:rRNA from 1 species
UACGGAGGGUGCAAGCGUUAAUCGGAAUUACUGGGCGUAAAGCGCACGCAGGUGGCUGAGUCAGUCGAUUGUGAAAGCCCUGGGCUUAACUGUGGGCGUGCGGUCGAUACGGGCAUCACUGGAGUUCGGCAGGGGAGACUGGAAUUCCUGGUGUAGCGGUGAAAUGCGCAGAUAUCAGGAGGAACACCGGUGGCGAAGGCGGGUCUCUGGGCCGAUGACUGACGCUGAGGAGCGAAAGCGUGGGGAGCGAACAGG